AGUGAACGCUGGCGGUAGGCCUAACACAUGCAAGUCGAACGGCAGCACAGUAAGAGCUUGCUCUUACGGGUGGCGAGUGGCGGACGAGUGAGGAAUACAUCGGCAUCUUCUUUUUCGUGGGGGAUAACGUAGGGAAACUUACGCUAAUACAGCAUACGACCUACGGGUGAAAGCAGGAGAUCUUCGGACCUUGCGCGAUUGAAUGAGCCGAUGUCGGAUUAGCUAGUUGGCUGGGUAAAGGCCCACCAAGGCGACGAUCCGUAGCUGGUCUGAGAGGAUGAUCAGCCACACUGGAACUGAGACACGGUCCAGACUCCUACGGGAGGCAGCAGUGGGGAAUAUUGGACAAUGGGCGCAAGCCUGAUCCAGCCAUGCCGCGUGGGUGAAGAAGGCCUUCGGGUUGUAAAGCCCUGUUGUUGGGAAAGAAAAGCAGCAGGUGAAUACCCGGCUGUUCUGACGGUACCCAAAGAAUAAGCACCGGCUAACUUCGUG
rnacentral:rRNA from 1 species